AUACCAUGAUGGGGACAUUUUCUCAACAAAUCCAUAAAACUCUCCCAUGCAUCAUACAAAGACUCCCCCUCUAUCUGAUAUAAAUUAUUAAUCUCCGCCCUCAACUGUGCUU